rnacentral:rRNA from 1 species
GAGUUUGAUCAUGGCUCAGGACGAACGCUGGCGGCGUGCUUAACACAUGCAAGUCAAGGGGGCCCAGCAAUGGGCAACCGGCGAACGGGUGCGUAACACGUGAGCAACCUACCGAACUGUGGGGGAUAGCCGGCCUAACGGCCGAGUAAUACCGCAUACGCUCUCAGAGAGGCACUUCUUUGAGAGGAAACCUACGGGACAGAUCGAGGGGCUCGCGGCCUAUCAGCUAGUUGGCGAGGUAACGGCUCACCAAGGCAACGACGGGUAGCUGGUCUGAGAGGAUGGCCAGCCACAUUGGGACUGAGAUACGGCCCAGACUCCUACGGGAGGCAGCAGUGGGGAAUCUUGCGCAAUGGCCUAACGGCUGACGCAGCGACGCCGCGUGUGGGAUGAAGCUCUUCGGAGUGUAAACCACUGUUGCCCGGGACGAAUAGCUCGAUUAAUCGAGCCUGACGGUACCGGGUGAGGAAGCACCGGCUAACUCCGUGCCAGCAGCCGCGGUAAUACGGGGGGUGCGAGCGUUGUCCGGAAUCACUGGGCGUAAAGGGCGCGUAGGUGGUUUGAUAAGGGUGUGGUGAAAGUCCGGGGCUCAACCCCGGAUCUGCCGUGCCGACUGUCAAACUCGAGGACUGUAGAGGCAGACGGAAUUCCGGGUGUAGCGGUGGA